ACAAGUAAUAGAUAUAAAAUCUCAUUUUAUUAAUAUAAUGAUACAUUUACAAUGGGGUAAAACUAAAUCUGACUUAAAGAAAAAACCACCAGAAAACGAUAUAAAAAGAAUCUUAGGCUAUGAAUUCAGCAAAUCCUUAAUGGGUUGAGCCAUCUUCGUCAUACCAAUAACAUUAACAAUCGACUUGAGAGCACCCAAAAUUGAACCUAGAACUUCCGGAUAUUCUUCUCCAAGAUACUCAAACAAGACAACACCAAGAUGACCCAUCAAUUAUUCCUCAUGGCACUGCUUCAUGACAACAACAAUUCUCGAAAUGAGGUUUUAUUCUUGCUGCCUCACCUUUGCACUCUUGUUGUUUAGCCUCCACUUGGGUUUAAAAAAAAAACAAAAAAAAAACACGAAAUGACGUCAUUUUACUCCACGAAGAUUUAUCACCUCUUGUCUCCAAUUCAAAGAAACCUCUUGAAAUUUUCAAUAUUUCAAAGAGGCCUCUUUCUUUGAAAGGCCAAGGAUGAAAAAACAACAUUGUUGUUGUAGAAGGAAGAGGAGGAGUGAGCGAGGAUGAGAGAAUGUGAGAAAUGGUGAAGGUUGAAAGGGUAUUUAUAGGAGAAAUGGAUACCUAGGUUGUAUCUACACAUAAUGUGAGUAAAAAAAGGUGUAAAAACUUGUAAAAACGUGUAAAAUCAAUUAAGAAUAACUGACCACCGUCUAAAAAACGUGUUAUUUGUGUUAAACCACCGGCGAAAGUUGCGUGAGUUAACUCACGCCACCGGCCAAAGGUGCGUGACUUAAGUCACACUGAAC
rnacentral:lncRNA from 1 species